rnacentral:lncRNA from 1 species
GAAGGUUAAGUUCGGCCCCCGAAGGUUGCAUGGUUUUGCAUGCGAUUCGGCAGCCGAACCUGAGGCGGUUGCUCAUCUAUAAGGGCACCGAGUGGCAGAAAAAGGAGGAGGUUUCUUCUCUCCUUCUGACCUAGGUGAGGUCUUGAUCUCCUUAAAGUAUUUUCAUGGUUUUUCUUCAAAUCUUUCACGGUUUUAAUGAGUUUUACCCUUGUUUUGAAGAGUUGUGAGCUUGAAACAAGGUUUUGGAGUUUGAAGCUUUUGAAGCUUGGUUUCUCCAUAUCUUUGAGUUUGGAUCAUCUCAGCCUUUGUUCUUCAAGAGGUAAGUGUUGAUCCAUGGUUCUGAUGAUGUUUUUAUGAGUUUUGUAAAGGGAAAAGGGAGCUAGGCAUGAGUUUGCAUGAGAUGUGCAUCAUAGGGUUUAUGAAUCCUCUAUGUUUGAUGUGUGUCUUGUGAGCUUGUUUGUUGGAGUUUAAAGUUAUUUGAAGCUCCCUUAGGCUUGUUGAAGUGUUUAUGCAUGUUUUAGAAGGGUUAAAUGCAUAUGUUGAGGUCUGAACAGGUGGUGGAGGGACUGGCAGGCGUCCUUGUGCACGAAACUGAGUUCUGGCUAAACCCAGGUUCGGCCCCCGAAAGUCCAAGUUAGGCCGCCGAACAUGCCUGACUUUCGUCUCUGGAGGAGACAUUCGGCCGCCGAAGGUGCCGCCGAAGGUGCCCUGUCCAGCCUUCCUUUGCUUGUUUUGCAUGCAUAUUUUGAGGUAGUCUAGAGGGGUUUUGGGGAGUUGUUUCUCAGUUGUAUAGAGUAUGUUUGGUGCCUCAUUUGCGUCCUCCAUUGUAGGAUUGGACCCGAGGAACCGAGGUGUUUAGCAGUCGUCGUAGCUGUUUCAGAGUUAGAGGUAGCCCAGAGUUAGCCAAGCAGUGGCUACAGGUGAGUGGAACUAAACUAACUAUUUUAUUUGAGAAAUGACACGAUUCUAGCAUGCUCCAUGCAUCAUACACUGCCAUGUUAUAUAGUAGGUUGUGUGCAUUAGACUUCACGAAUAUGAUGCAUUGCAUAUGUUGUUGUUCCUGUGGAUGAAUGUUGGAUGAUCCUUAGCCCUUGACAGAGAGAGCAGAUACAGAGUUAUGGCAUGAGAUAGCCAUACCAGGUCGCCCCUGGAUAGUCCAGGUCGCUCCUGGUACUAUGAGUGAGACAGCUGGGCUGUCAGAUCAGAGGUAAGAAAAGACCAGGUGAUGACAUCGUCUCCUUGGCACAGAUAAGUGGAAGACCAGGUGAUGACAUCGUCUCCUUGGCACUAUUGGUUAUGUUUGAGAUCAGAGAGAUAAGUGGAAGACCAGGUGAUGACAUUGUCUCCUUGGCACUAUUGGUAUUCUAACAUGUAGUUGAGGGCUAUUGGUGACAAGUUCAUCUUUGAGCUGAUAUGAUUGUGAUGUGAUGCAUUUCAUGCGAACAUGUAAUGAAUGAACUGUUUUCGGUUUCCCUUGUACAUGAAUCCUGUUUUACGUUUCUUGAUGAUGUCAUUCUAGGGCGGAUUGGCUAGCUACUCAUGGUAUUACCUGUGUCUAUAGAGACAAGGUAAGAAAGUAUAGAAGGUAAGAUGGAUCAGAGGCAGUCCUUAGGAGGGGACAGUAUAGUAUUCCCAGAAGUGUGAUAUCAGCCCUACAGGCUCGUGACUUCGUUGGGAAGGUAGUCAGGGGUUUUCUUGCUCUUGUUUGAGAGCAGAAUAGUCAGGUCAGGGAACCAGCCUCAGUACUCAUAGAAAGAAAAAGAGAAAGAGAGUUAUAUGUGUACACAGAGAGUAUAGUUGGCUGACUACGGGUCCCGGCGGCCUUAAGCCGAUCUGGAUCCUAGUGCCAGUGAUGGUUCGGACCGUUACUGAGUGGUACCGGUUUCCGGGUC